CUUUACCCAGUCUUUAACAGCAUCAUGAUCUGGACAACGGCUUCCACAUUGCCAGCUAUUGCCAUAGCUUUUCUCUGUCCUCCAGAUGUCAGAUGCUGUGGCAGGACAUACAGAGCAAUCCCAAGAGAAGAAAGGAGAUGCCCGAGAGUUGGAGGAAUCUACAGAGAAGCAGCUCGCGGACAGAAAUGUCUCAAGCAUCCUUUGUGAAGAACUUUCCCUUCUCAGCACUGAUCCUUAGUAUUCCUGUGAGCAUCCUCUCCUGGGCGCCUUGACAGCCUAACAGAGCCCUUCGUCAUUAACCCACCUGAAAAGAAUAGAAAUACUGGAAAGAAGUCAGGGAGAAAAGAGAACAUACACACUAGGAAAACAUCAAAAUUGGGAGACUUAAAAAAUGCUGUUUUGUUCCUUGCUUUCUGGGACUUACCCAAGCUCCUCUGAAGGAAUGGCCUGGCCCAGCUAUUAAAAGUGCAUACAGAGUAGAGCAAAGCUGGAGACAGGGGCUGAG
rnacentral:lncRNA from 1 species